UUACGGCCAUAUGACUUUGAAACACUGGUGCUCGUACGAUCACCAAAGUUAAGCAACGACGAGCCUGGUCAGUACCUAGAGGAGUGACCGCUUAGGAAUACCAGGUGAAGU